rnacentral:rRNA from 1 species
CAAUAGCGUAUAUUAAAGUUGUUGCGGUUAAAAAGCUCGUAGUCGGAUCUCGGCAGGCAGGGGGUGGUUCGCUCUUAGCGCUACUGCCCCAUUUGCCUGUGUGAUUGGCGGAGGUUUCGGGGUGCUCUUCGUUGAGUGACCCGGGGCGCCGUCAGGUUUACUUUGAAAAAAUUAGAGUGCUCAAAGCAGGCUUUUCACGCUUGAAUAUUCGUGCAUGGAAUAAUGGAAUAGGAACUCGUUUCUAUUUUGUUGGUUUUCGGAAAUCGAGUUAAUGAUUAAUAGGGACAAUUGGGGGCAUUAGUAUUCAGACGACAGAGGUGAAAUUCUUGGACCGUCUGAAGACUAACUACUGCGAAAGCAUUUGCCAAGAGUGUUUUCAUUAA